GCUCCUCCAGCUCCCGCCUCUCGUAUCGCCCCAAGAGAACUGAAAACACAUGGCCACAUAGAAACGUGUGCACCAACAUUCACAGCGGCAUUCUUCAAACAGCCAAAAAGUAGGACAACCCAACUGUCCCUCAGCAAAUGGAUGGAUGAACACAAUGUGUCUGUUCAUACACCGGAAUAUCAUUCAGCCCAAGGAAGGAAUGACGCCCUGAUGCACUACAGCAAGGACGGACCUUGAAAACAUCAGGCUGAGUGAAAGGCGCCAGACACAAAAGGCCACACAGCGUCUGAGUCCAUUCCUAAGAAAUGUCCAGAGGAGGCACAUUCACAGACGGAAAGCAGAUGAGUGGCUGCCAGGGGCUCGGGGAGGGAGAAACGGAAGGACUGGAGGGGUGAUGGCUAAAGGAUGUAGCAUUUCUUCCAG
rnacentral:lncRNA from 10 species